rnacentral:lncRNA from 1 species
GAAGUAAUAUCUGGACUUUGAAAUUGUUUCCUUAACGACAACAAAAAAGGGAGUAAUCCUACCUACUGUAAGAGUCAUGACUCUUGAUUGCAGCUGACAGAAACUCAUGACAGCCUGGUUUAGAUAAAGGGGGAGAGAAGGACUGGAAGAAUCUUGGAGUUGGGAAUGUCGCACGUAAUUGAAGGAAGAACAAGAAAACUAUAGCAGCUAUUCCCAACCCCAGAACCUUUGCUGUCUUGGAACAGAUCACCACUGCAAGAGGGGAAGUUGCUACUGUGAUGAAUUCUGCCAUGUGGUACCAGACUGCUACCCAGACCACAGUGUCCUCUGCAACCCUCGUAACUCACAUACAGGCCUGAUUCCACCUACAGCAAAGCUGGAUGCUAUGGUUGGCAGAGGCAAACCCUUUGCCUGCACUUCAGGCCAAAGCCGGGAUGUGGCCUAGAUGGUUCCUAAGGUCCCUGACAAUCCUGAGAUCUUGCAUCUUGUCUAUUUCAGGUCAAAGGUGCCUACAUGUUCCUUCUAGCUUUGUUUCCCUGAUGUUCCUUGCCACCUGCUACUCCUCUCUGAGCUACUUUUCCAGGUUCCACAGGGAGAGGUUCAGCUGUCCGUGGUAGACAUGAGGGUAGAGAAUGAGGUGGUUGGGUUCCACUUACCUUUCUAUCAUCUUGCAGUAUGGAUGUCUCUUGACUGGUACCAUGUAGACUUUUGAGGGCACACAGGAGUCUGCAGAGAGAUACUGGGGACAUUGAGUAGCAGCGGUGGGGUUGGG